AAAAAAUAUAUAUAUAUAUAUACACACACACACACACACACACACACACACGGAUCAGGAUUCAAAUGUACUAACGUGAUACAAGGCCUAUCACUUUUUAACUUCACCAUACUGUAUUUUCAGUCAUUUUAACAUACACAGCUAAUGAAUAUCUAUCUUAUUUGCACACUUAGGAUAAUAACAGAAAUUAAAAGUUGAACAUAUGCAGUUUAUUUUGUCCAAAAUAUAAUUGUUGUUUCUCUGUGUUGGGAAAGGCUGUCUCCUGCAUGCAGUCCUGUGUGUGGACUCCAUUGGACCACAGAAGAAUGAGCCUUCAACCCGAACACUUCCUUACCAACAGAUAAAGAGCCUUCACAGCAUGUGCCGGGUUUAUCGCCUGGUAUGGGAAUAUCUUUUCCUGUUUCAGACUCUGUAUACUCCUUUAAUCUGCUUAAGCUCAUAUGUCAAUGGCCCUCAGACACACCUCCAGCUUUCUGUAUUUCAGACUGCAUGGGAAGGGGGAGGGGUCCCUCUAUUGCAGCACAAAGUGGGGUGGGUGCAGCUAACUCCCCACAUAGCAUAGCUGUGAAGUGGAUCCAGUGGCCCUGAGGGACCAACACAAUGUAAGGAGCUGGACCUUGUGCACUCUUGCUCCUCUCUUGCUGUGAGUAAACACUGUAUGGCUUGAGUCCAGCAUGUGUGUUUUCUGUAUCACAACCUCGGGUCGUGCAUUGGUCUCUUCCCUGGAAGGCACUUUUUAUCUGUCUUCUAACCUUGGCAGCACAGCCCGGCCAUCCAGUGAAUGAUGAAAUACUUAGCACUUGUUGUCAUAGUAGGUAAUUUUGUGAAUUCAAAUAAAUAAUCAGCUAAUAAAAUUGGCUUCAAAAUACUCUUGGAUUGGAGAAUUGAAAAGGCACAUUUCACUCAAGGCAUCUUUGCCCCUGGGCUGUAACUUAAAAUACCUCUUUGAUUUCAGGCCUCCUUAUCUAACUUCUGCUCAGUCACCUCUGCAUUCUACCUGUAGAAAAGUGACUCAACAUCAUUCCAGAAGUCCGGAAUUCUACAAGAAUCAUCUGAUGUCAAAAAUAACUGAGAACAAUCUGAACAGGAGAGGAAGAUAGAAGUAACUAUGAAAGAUUACAGAGAUUAGAAAGAGCCACUGUACUUGAAAGAAAGCAAUCAUCUCUGAGAGCUCUUCAAUUACAACGAAAUUGUCAGCUAGAUAGAAGGAAUUAAUACUAGUGUUUGAUACCACCUUACGAUGACUAUAGCUUUUCUCGGAGUUGAAAGUGAUAACACACCACCACAUGGUCAAGUGAAUCAUAACCUGCUGGGGCUUGAGGUAUGGAAGACGAACAGUGGAGGAAAAGGUAUCUUCCAGCCUGGUGAAAUGCCGUGGAAAUGUGAGGCCAUUUAUUUUUUCUAAAUGCCCCAGCAACAGCUCUCAUUCACUUGCAGAAGCAAGAGCUGUUCUGACUACUCACAGUAUAUGGUGAGAUCUUUAUUUCUUUGCCUUUUUUUUUACUGUGAGUUUCCUUUUUUGUCAUCAUUGACCUUAUAAUGAAUCACUGCACUGUCUGAGUAAUGAGGCUGCAGUAGAUAAGGUCUCCUGAGAAUAUGAAGGAAGAAGUAUGUUCAGCAACUGAUUACUGACUUAUCCACCUGAUUAUAGUGACCAAUCUACUCAUAUAUCUGAUUUCAAAUGCCCAAUACAAUGUUAAUAAUCUUAUUAAAACUUCUUUGCAGUAAAAAUCAAACUUCUUUGGUUGAUGUUUUUUCUUAAAUUUUUAAAUUCUAAGUAGAGCAGUAGUUUUAAGAUUGCACAAUACAAAUAUUUUAGUGAUGCUUCUGGAAAUCCAUCUAGCAACUUGUUAUUUACAAUAUACUAUUAGUAGUACAUUAUAAAUAACUGAAAUCUAAAACAUAAUUCAUAAGGAAUA
rnacentral:lncRNA from 1 species